AAGUCGGUAUUCUUAUAAGAAACUGAACUUAGAAUAUACUAAAAUUCAGUAAUUAAGUUUAGUUUGUUCGACUUAUAUCCUAAGGGGAAUAAGAACGGAGG
rfam:Clostridium botulinum D str. 1873 CLG.Contig181, whole genome shotgun sequence.